rnacentral:misc_RNA from 1 species
CAAAAAUAGAAAAAUUCAUGGAUAUGGGCUCAUGAUACAGCAGUAUGGGAAGAUUCAUGAGCAGACAAAACAUGUGGUCAAGUGACCCAUCAGUCAUUGAAAUAUCAUGUGUUACCAAGAAUAGUGAGAGAAAAGGAUGAAACAUGCAGAAUCUAAAUAAAGGAUGGCAAGAAAGUACUGGCAAAUAAGGAGAAUAGUAGCAGCAAAUAAAGGUCACUGUGUGACAUUCCAAAUUCCACAGAAAAGGCUGAAAAAG